rnacentral:rRNA from 1 species
UACUCGAGUGGCGAACGGGUGAGUAACACGUGGGUGAUCUGCCCUGCACUUCGGGAUAAGCCUGGGAAACUGGGUCUAAUACCGGAUAGGAGCCAUUUUUAGUGUGAUGGUUGGAAAGUUUUUUUGGUGUAGGAUGAGCUCGCGGCCUAUCAGCUUGUUGGUGGGGUAAUGGCCUACCAAGGCGGCGACGGGUAGCCGGCCUUAGAGGGUGGACGGCCACAUUGGGACUGAGAUACGGCCCAG